CCUACGGGGGGCUGCAGUGGGGGAUAUUGCACAAUGGGGGAAACCCUGAUGCAGCGACGCCGCGUGUGGGAAGACGGUCCUCUGGAUUGUAAACCACUGUCCCCAGGGACGAAGAUGACGGUACCUGGGGAGGAAGCUCCGGCUAACUACGUGCCAGCAGCCGCGGUAAUACGGAGGGAGCAAGGGUUGUUCGGAAUUACUGGGUGUAAAGGGAGCGUAGGCGGGAUGGCAAGUUGGGUGUUAAAUCUACGGGCUCAACUGGUAGUCGCACUCAAAACUGCUAUUCUUGAGUGAAGUAGAGGCAGGCGGAAUGCCUAGUGUAGCGGUGAAAUGCGUAGAUAUUAGGAGGAACACCAGUGGCGAAGGCGGCCUGCUGCGCUUUUACUGACGCUGAGGCUCGAAAGUGUGGGGAGCAAACAGGAUUAGAUACCCUUGUAGUC
rnacentral:rRNA from 1 species